rnacentral:rRNA from 1 species
GCCUCUUGAUUUAACCAUAAGAGGUCCAGCCUGCCCAGUGACAUUGUUCAACGGCCGCGGUAUCCUAACCGUGCGAAGGUAGCGUAAUCACUUGUCCUUUAAAUAAGGACUAGUAUGAAUGGCCCCACGAAAGCUAUACUGUCUCCUUUUUCUAAUCAGUUAAACUAAUCUCCCCGUGAAGAAGCGGGGAUAAACAUAUAAGACGAGAAGACCCUAUGGAGCUUUAAAUAACUGAAACAUUUGCAUCCCACUUUAAAUUUCCGAAAUCUACACUUAAUUCCACAUCUUGUUUCUAGUUUUAGGUUGGGGUGACCACGGAGAAAAACCAAACCUCCAUGCCGAAAGAAACAUCUCUAAACAAAAAACUACAAUUUUAUGUAUUAACACAUUAACCUUAAUUGACCCAAUUUAUUGAUCAACGAACCAAG